ensembl:lncRNA
AGUGACGUUGCGAUCAUCUAUUGGCCACACGUCUUCACGUGAUCCGAUUACGCAGGUCAGAGUGCACCAAAUUUCAUCACGUAGCUUGCUUGUGUUUCCGGUCUGCCGUUUUCGGAUGCGUUUGCGCGCUAAAUCCAAGUGUGACCACCCCCAUGACUGGCGAGGAAUUGGAGGUUUCUUUUGGAGGAAGACAGUGUGGAUUGAGCCGAGGAGCAUUUCAGCAUGGAGUGAAGAAGAAGAAGGAAAAUGCUCCUAAUCCUUCUCACACUUCAUCUGAGGCCUUCUCCCCCACCACCCACAGGGAGGUUUCCACUGUAAAACUGACAGCUCCAUCUACCCCCCUUGUAUAAUCACAUGAUUAUACAGAUUGGCAUGCCCUCUCUUUUAAUCUCCAAAUGGGAUAUAAUCUUCCAGACCAUUUUAGGGAAGUUUCCAUCAGUAGGCAUGUUAUGUACUCAUGCCAUGUUCAAGGUGAAGUUGCAACUUGUAUUACCCUCCCACAACAGGUAAAAACACUGAAAAUGCUCCCCUCAACUUACAAUUUCAACUUUGGGGAGAAUUCUCAACUACGAGUUCCUUUCCUGUUUGUGGAGUG